CAUGUCUAAGUAUGAACGCUCCUCACUGUGAAACUGCGAAUGGCUCAUUAAAUCAGUUAUAGUUUAUUUGAUGGUACCUCCUACUUGGAUAACCGUGGUAAUUCUAGAGCUAAUACAUGCAGCAAGUCCCGACUUCUGGAAGGGACGUAUUUAUUAGAUACAAAACCAAUGCAGCUUCGGCUGGUCCCUUGGUGAUUCAUGAUAACUGCUCGAAUCGCAUGGCCUUGCGCUGGCGAUGGUUCAUUCAAGUUUCUGCCCUAUCAACUGUCGAUGGUAGGGUAUUGGCCUACCAUGGUUGCAACGGGUGACGGAGAAUUAGGGUUCGAUUCCGGAGAGGGAGCCUGAGAAACGGCUACCACAUCCAAGGAAGGCAGCAGGCGCGCAAAUUACCCAAUCCCGACUCGGGGAGGUAGUGACAAAAAAUACUGAUACCGGGCUCACAAAGUCCGGCAAUCGGAAUGAGAACAACUUAAACCCCUUAUCGAUGAACAAUUGGAGGGCAAGUCUGGUGCCAGCAGCCGCGGUAAUUCCAGCUCCAAUAGCGUAUAUUAAAGUUGUUGCAGUUAAAAAGCUCGUAGUUGGAUUUCGGGGCGGUCCCGUCGGUCCGUCGUGAGACUGGCACUGACGGGCCUCCCUUCCUCUCGAAGUCCCCGUCUGCUCUUCACUGCAGUGGAGUGGGGAAUUCGUGACGUUUACUGUGAAAAAAUUAGAGUGUUCAAAGCAGGCAGCCGCUUGAAUACAUUAGCAUGGAAUAAUGGAAUAGGACUUGGGUCCUAUUUUGUUGGUUUCCGGGACCGAAGUAAUGAUUAAUAGGGACAGUCGGGGGCAUUCGUAUUUAAUUGU
rnacentral:rRNA from 1 species